GAUUCCCAUCACAAAAUCGAGCUAUACCACCCCAAAGGUGGCUAGGGUUUGGAAGGAGUCCAUCCUCAAUCCAUAGCUUGUACAUUCCUCUUCUCUUUCCCUAUUAUCUUUGGCUUCUCUCGUUACUCAUCUCAGCCACGCAAUGUCCCAAGAUAAUGUUCAGGCAUCCAAGUAGGUUUAUCAGAUAAUCGUGCUGGAAGACACCUAAUUAAUCAUUUUGAUCCAAGUCUGAAAGUUCUGAUCUUUUGAUCCAAAUCUGAAAGUUCAAGACCUGAUGACCUUCUUCGUAGAAAUUAGUCAUACUAUGACAGCCUGAAAAUGGAAAAGAGAAAUUAAUAGUUCUACCUGGUGAUAGAGAUGAGUGGGAUGGAAAUGUAUUGGUCAUCAUUCUUUGCAGGUCUAUCGUGAAAAGAAUAAGGCUAUCAAAUUCAGAAGCAGAGCAUACAAAGAGUACUCUCUUCACACUGGAUUAAUGGACUUAGCCGCUAUCAAGAGGUUAUUGCUUUCUGAAAGACCAAGUGAUGACUACAUAGCUGGGGUAGAGUUUUCUUCAGUUUGCAUACAGAGGGGAAAAAAUUAGAUGCAAAGAUUAGAUGUCCUUGUGUCAAGUGUGUCAACAUGCUGUUACAAAAGCAACCUGUAGUGUAUGAUCACUUAGUAUGCCAUGGAAUGCUGUGUGGAUAUGGCAUUAUAUCAAAAGCAACCCUAUAUGAUAAUAAUGGAAUUCACAGAGAUGAACCUGAUGCGCCC